GACGAACGCUGGCGGCGUGCUUAACACAUGCAAGUCGAACGGAAAGGCCCUGCUUUUGUGGGGUGCUUGAGUGGCGAACGGGUGAGUAACACGUGAGUAACCUGCCCUUGACUUUGGGAUAACUUCAGGAAACUGGGGCUAAUACCGGAUAGGAGCUCCUGCUGCAUGGUGGGGGUUGGAAAGUUUCGGCGGUUGGGGAUGGACUCGCGGCUUAUCAGCUUGUUGGUGGGGUAGUGGCUUACCAAGGCUUUGACGGGUAGCCGGCCUGAGAGGGUGACCGGCCACAUUGGGACUGAGGUACGGCCCAGACGCCUACGGGAGGCAGCAGUGGGGAAUAUUGCACAAUGGGCGGAAGCCUGAUGCAGCAACGCCGCGUGCGGGAUGACGGCCUUCGGGGUGUAAACCGCUUUCGCCUGUGACGAAGCGUGAGUGACGGUAAUGGGUAAAGAAGCACCGGCUAACUACGUG
rnacentral:rRNA from 1 species